UACGUAGGGUGCAAGCGUUGUCCGGAAUUAUUGGGCGUAAAGAGCUCGUAGGCGGUUCCGUAAGUCAGAUGUGAAAACUCAGGGCUCAACCCGGAGACGCCAUCUGAUACUGCGGUGACUGGAGUCUGGUAGGGGAACACGGAAUUCCUGGUGUAGCGGUGAAAUGCGCAGAUAUCAGGAGGAACACCGAUGGCGAAGGCAGUGUUCUGGGCCAGUACUGACGCUGAGGAGCGAAAGCGUGGGGAGCAAACAGG
rnacentral:rRNA from 1 species